UUGCUCUGUCUUCGGCAGGCUGGGUGAUGUUGUUACUACUACUUUUCUGCUGUCUCAUAUCUCCUACCGCCAUGUGCCAGCUGAUAGGGGAACUGUGACAUACCACACCCCCGCGGCCAGGAAGGGGGUCACAUGGAAUGGUCUCAUCCAGAGCACUUUAAAGAAACUGAUAAGCUCUAUCUCAUUUAACUUGGCCUUUGGAAGACGCUUGUGGAAAUUUCUGCAAAGGAGGUGACAUCAGUUGUUGUCACAGCUGCUGUAAAAUUCUACAGUACUGCCAAAUGAAUUCCAGAUAAAUCCUUCCUGGUUUUCUGUCUCAUUGUGUAUCAAGGCGAUAGCUAGCAUGCUAUCCAGAUCAUUGCUUCAACCAGACCUUACAUUUCCUGUGAAGGAGGAACUCUCUGCUGUCCCCAUGGAAUGAGGAGGACUUGGAUGCAGCACUAAGACUUCUCUCUUCAUCUCUCAUGAGCAGUUGCUGCCUUAUGACCCAGAGAAGUUACUCUUGUCCAAGCUGCUUGUUCAAGGUCUUUUGUUGGGUGAUGCUAUUCCCAUUGCUCUGUCAUGCAGCUGAGGCUCCUUUUGUAUCCUGGCACUCAGAGAUCCUGCCUUCCUUUUGCCCAUGGACAACACAGCUUGUGCUUUGGAAGCGCCGUUGUGGGCUCUCCCAACUGGUGUCUCCCAGAUUUCAACCCUGGGUCCUGUGUUAUGUGGAAGCCUGCAGCAGUCUGGUCUGGAUGAAGAAAAUACCUCAGAAAACCCAAGAGGAAUGCUUGAUUUGAAAGUUUCUCUCAUGAGAUUAUUUUAUCUUUCUAAUAAAAAAAAAAAAAGCUUUAAAAAUAAAAUAAUGAUAAAUCAUUCUGAGAAAACCAAUUCCAAUAUGAUAAAACUCCUACAGUAUGAAGCAAGAACCACUCAAUCAACUGCAAGGAGAAGGGCAUGUUAUUUAAUCAAACAGAGGCUUAGAGAACAGCAUCAAAUAUACAUUUUUGGUAUUUGUUUCCAUUUUUCCUAGUACAUUUCUGUCUGGAUUUCUUUGGUAUUACAUAGACUUGAGUUACAUCUUGUGCAUCUUGUGGAAGAAGAUAGGUAUCCUAAUAGAGCUUUCGAAUAUAGUUAAAAUUACUUCAGCAAGGCUACAGUAGGUCAUUGGCAGAGCUAGGAAAAGAAGUUAGGCAAUGUUUUGCCCAAUUCUGUAUAUUUUAAAUUGCAAACUGGCCUCCCUCCCUGAAUUACAAUGGCAUUGUGAUACCUAAAUGUUCAGAAGUCUAAGCUUUAUAUACUAACCUUAACACAGAGAAUUUAUUGAACAGACUUUAAGAAAAUAUUGCUAUAGCUUCUUUACCAGUUGUGUCCUAACCUGCUUUUUGCAUGGUAUUCAAGGUUAAUUUUGACAACAGAAUUAUCUUUUAGGGUUUUAUAAAAUACCAGGGAUUAAAAGGGACAAAUCUAGACAGGGCAGGAAUUUGCCAGCAGGACAAUGUUCUAAAACAACUUCUGAAAAAUUAACACAUUAUGGAAAUAAAUUAAUUUUUUUUAACAUUGGGCUCUUUUAUUUUUCUUUUAGAAAAGAAAAUGAAGCCUUCCAUUAUAGGACUAUUUAGUUUUGAGUAAAUUAUGUGUUUCCCUUUUGUGGUGUAUUUCUCUAGUCAAUUUAUUUUUUGCAUGCCUAUUGCUCCCAGUUUCUGCUGGUCUGAGCUUGCUUGCCAACUGGUAUUUGCCACUAAGACUCAGAAUCAUGAGAUUUUCUUUGAGGAGCUUGGUACAUUAUGGCAGCCAUUGUCCCACAGAAGAGGAUGAAGGAUGCAGACAUUUACUCCUGUGGGUCUCAUGAAAAAUGCAAUAGUGAAAGAGCCCAGCAAAUUGAAACAAUAUUUUUCAAUUCAUGAAUACUAAAAAUUCAAAUGUCUUCCCAAAAUAAACCCGAAGUUUUAUUUCUUAUUGAAAAUUCUUUAAAAAAUCCCAACAAAACAAAGCAGCUGAUAUUUACUUAAUCAUCCCAAGUUAGGAAAAAAAUGUUGAACAAAAAUAUUUUGUAUAGGAUUACAUUUCCAUAUUUUUUUCAGCUCUAAUUAUGAUAAGGUUGUACAAGGAUUAAUUUUAUUCUUUCUUUGUCUCAUCCUUUUUCCAUCCUAGACAAUGAAAAUAGUUUAAUCUAGCAGUUUUUACUAGCAGUUUUGUGGUCUGUGCACCAGAGCUGGCUUGUAAAACUUUUUCUUUCAGUGGUUUUAUUGUUCAAGAACUGAUGCUUCUUGU